UGCCAGCAGCCGCGGUAAUACGAAGGGUGCUGGCGUUGUUCGGAAUUACUGGGCGUAAAGAGCAUGUAGGCGGAUAAAUAAGUUUGAAGUGAAAUCCUGUGGCUCAACCAUAGAACUGCUUUGAAAACUGUUUAUCUAGAAUAUGGGAGAGGUAGAUGGAAUUUCUGGUGUAGGGGUAAAAUCCGUAGAGAUCAGAAGGAAUACCGAUUGCGAAGGCGAUCUACUGGAACAUUAUUGACGCUGAGACGCGAAAGCGUGGGGAGCAAACAGGAUUAGAUA
rnacentral:rRNA from 1 species